UACGGGGGGGGCAAGCGUUGUUCGGAAUUACUGGGCGUAAAGGGCUCGUAGGUGGCUUUUCAAGUCCGCCGUCAAAUCCCAGGGCUCAACCCUGGACAGGCGGUGGAAACUGCCAAGCUGGAGUACGGUAGGGGCAGAGGGAAUUUCCGGUGGAGCGGUGAAAUGCGUAGAGAUCGGAAAGAACACCAACGGCGAAAGCACUCUGCUGGGCCGACACUGACACUGAGAGACGAAAGCUAGGGGAGCGAAUGGG
rnacentral:rRNA from 1 species